ACGACGCCUCGUUAAGCUACCGUUUGGUUCGGGGUUAAGGAAAAACUAGUUAUUACAGAGAUAGGAUUAAGUUUAGGGUUAAGGUGGGGUUAAAAUAUUUUUGUGUUUGGUUGGGGUUGGAGUUAGUCCAGAAUAGUAAAAAAUAGUGUUUGGUUGGAGUAGGUGGAAUAAGAAGGAUAGUGGAUUAUUAUAAAUAAAAAAUAGUGUUUGGUUGGAAUUUGGUGGGAUUAGGUGAGAUUAGCUAACCCGGGAUAACCCAUUUUAGGCGGGAUUAGCUAAUCCCACCCGUUUAUAGAAGUAUUUGGGGAUAAAAUGGGGGUUAAGGGGUUAUUCCACCCCUUAACACCCAACCAAACGGAGGCUAGGAAACUCUGGUCCAACGUUAUAUGUCAUUUUUAUCUCGAUCCAAGAAUUAUAAUUUUUCAUUCUAGAAUUUAAAAAUUUGUACCCAAUAAAUUAUUAAAUGGAGGUAAAAUUAACAUAUGAGAGCAGAUCGAGAGUUUGAAAAAAAAAGUUAAUUUCAUAUAGGUCUCUACAAAUAUAGUGAAUUAUAAAUAUAUUUCUACAACUUUUUUAAUAUACGUAUUUAGUAUAUUUUCAAAUAUAUCCAAAUGAUUGUUACCGUUAAAUCACUAUUUGUUUUAUAAGUGAAAUAAUCUUUUUGCCAUUACAAAUAUGUCUCUCUAAAAAUUAAAACGGUUAAUUAAAGAAGGAUACAAAAGUCAAUUUACCUUUUAAAUAUUUAAUCUAUGGUUAAUUAAAUUUUUCUAACAGAUUUUAACGGUAGGGACAUAUUUGAAAACAAUAGGACUUUUGUGAGGAACAAUAUAUGAAAGUUGAACUUUAUAGGAAUAUAUUUGUAAUUCAUUAUGUUUGUAGGGACGUGUAUAUAACUAACCUUUGAAAAAAAAGAGAGAUAAACUCUAAAUAGAAUUAAAAUUUUAUCAAAUCUAAAAUUUUUAUUAUU
rnacentral:lncRNA from 1 species